UCAAUUGGUAAGUGCUUGCCUAGCGUGU
rnacentral:piRNA from 1 species